rnacentral:misc_RNA from 1 species
GCAAACUUGGUCAUUUAGAGGAAGUAAAAGUCGUAACAAGGUUUCCGUAGGUGAACCUGCGGAAGGAUCAUUAACGAGUUUGAAACCGGGAGUCUGUUGCUGGUGCGGAAGCGCACAUGUGCACGGCUUUCGUGCUCAAUCCACUCAACCCCUGUGCACCUUUGCGAAGCUAGUAGUUUUUUUUCUUCUCUUUAUUUGGCUGUAUGGGAGCUUGCCUUGUUGCGAGUUCACUUGGCCGGAGGGAGGAGGAGGGAGCGAACACUUUGAUUUUUAUUACAAACGCAUUGUAUGUCUUGUGGAAUGUAAUGCUCCUUGUGGGCGAAAUGAAAUACAACUUUCAACAACGGAUCUCUUGGCUCUCGCAUCGAUGAAGAACGCAGC